rfam:Oryza rufipogon genomic scaffold, chr02
AAAAAGGCAAACCCUGAGUUUCCGUGUCUAACUUUGACUGUCCGUCUUAUAUGAAAUUUUUUUAUAAUUCUUAUUUUUAUUGUUGUUAGAUGAUAAAACAUAAUUAAUAUUUUAUGCGUGACUUGUCUUUUUAAUUUUUUUCAUAAUUUUUUCAAAUAAGACGGACGGUCAAAUAUUGAGUACAGAAAGCAGGAGUUGUCUUUUUU